UACGAGUGCCCCAAGCGUUAUCCGGAAUCAUUGGGCGUAAAGGGUGUGUAGGCGGUUGUGUUAGUCUUCUGUUAAAUUCUUCGGCUUAACCGGGGGUCUGCAGAGGAAACGGCACAACUAGAGGAUGCGAGAGGUGAAUGGAACUCAUGGAGUAGGGGUGAAAUCCGUUGAUAUCAUGGGGAACACCAAAAGCGAAGGCAAUUCACUGGCGCACUCCUGACGCUGAGACACGAAAGCGUAGGUAGCGAAUGG
rnacentral:rRNA from 1 species